rnacentral:rRNA from 1 species
UACGGGGGGGGCACGCGUUGUUCGGAAUUACUGGGCGUAAAGGGCUCGUAGGCGGCCAACUAAGUCGGACGUGAAAUCCCCAGGCUCAACCUGGGAACUGCGUCCGAUACUGGUCGGCUUGAAUUCGGGAGAGGGAUGCAGAAUUCCAGGUGUAGCGGUGAAAUGCGUAGAUAUCUGGAGGAAUACCGGUGGCGAAGGCGGCAUCCUGGACCGACAUUGACGCUGAGGAGCGAAAGCCAGGGGAGCAAACGGGAUUAGAAACCCGAGUAGUCC